ACUGUGACCUAAUAUACAAGAAUGGGCUCUAUCACAUACUCUAAUUUACACACACCUAGGGCUUCCUUUAAACAUGUACAGAAGGGUGGUAAAGCUUAAUAUUAUCUCCGUCCCCUGCUGUAAAAUGGUAUUGGGGUAGAGAGAGUGAAAUAUCAAACUGGUGAAAAUCUCAAAAAUCCCUGUCUAUUUUGUUGAAGUAUCAACAGUUCUUUCAAUGUCAAGCAUAGGUUUUACUCUUCUCUCAACCUCAUUGCUCAGUAAAUUUAGCUCUUCAACAAUCAUAGAAAAAGCAGCUUUGCAAGAAUCCUCAUCUCGAAAAGCCAGAGUCCACCGCCCAUCGACCAAAGCUUUUGACUUAACUUUAGCAUGGGCAGUAUGCUUCGCAGCAUCUAUGUAAGGGAAGAUUGAUUAUCUACACCCUUCGCCAGAAGUAUAGUUCGAGUCAUAUAACAAAGAACAACUUGAUAGGGAGCAUUUUACUACCUUUAGUGGGCCUAGUCGAUGCUAAUUCAAAUUAGAUGGGCGAGUGGGAUUUAGAUUCCGGAUGCCUAAGCAAAAAAGAAUUCUAACGUUAGUAUAAAAAAUGUUCAAUAGGUUCUAACUUUGCAUUCCACCGGCAUCAAAGUUCAAUGUCACCCACCAUCAACUCAAAAUAAUAAAGAAAUGUAAUCUUAAAUUCUGUUAGUAUAAAAAUAGCCUCCAAACUACAUGAGUUGCUAUAUUUUAGUGAACUUAAAUAUGACUUUAAACUUCAAAUUUAAUAAAAUGAACGUGCACUCACAGGGUUGAAUAGAAUAGUAUUAUACAACUAACUAAAUUAUUGAGAUGAGACAGAAUGACACCGUCACAUAUGAUUUACGAAAGAGAUCUAACUGAUUCACUUUCAUAGCUAAAAUAUAGACGUUCACAAAGUAUGUGAAGAAUUAAUUUGGUGCCUGGAGAGGGGAGAAUUUACUCAAUACAUGCUCAUUACUCUAUAUAAAGACUGAUACAAACAUAAAUGUUUUUAGGCAAAAUUCUAGUUCCACUAUUGUUAUGAUUCGAAGGACAUCGAUGUAUACUGACAUUUUUAUCGACCCUGCAAAAAUGCCAAAAGCUGUAUCACUGUAGAGAAUUAUAGAACAGAAUCAACACAACAGAGAUGCCAAUUAUGACUGGAAAUGCAGAGACCAAGUAUAAAGCUCCAUAUCCCUGCACGAAAAUGUCCCUCGUCAGAACCAGCUCCAAAUGAAGCGGUAAUGACAGCAACAUAUCUAACGAAGUUCCAUAAUUACGAUCGGAUUUUCUGAUUAAGUUUGAUCUCAACAAGCACCUGAUCUCGCUAAUCAAAGUACAUUGUCUAAAUUAAAACCUAAAGAAAAUCUUCAGAAAUCACUAUUUAAGAUGAUGCUUUUUUAAUACGAGCAAUAUAUUCUUCCAUGAAACUAAAUUUUUUCUGAGCUACCAGCUGAACUUGUUUUGAUAUAUAUAGCAUGUAGGUCGAGCUCUCAAAACUGCUUAUUUUGAAAAAAGUUUUUUUCGCCAGAAGUGUUUUUCGAAGAAGUACCUUCGAAAAGUAGCAUUUUGUUUUAGACUAAUAAAUUUGAAAAGAACAUUUGCGUACUAUAUAGCAGCAAUUUGUGCAUGGCUAAGGUUCCAAAAGUGCUUAAGGGUAAAGACUACUUUUUUCAGCUUCUGUUAUUACUCAAAAGCACUUUAUUCGCUUGGCCAAACCCUUAAUUCUCUAAAAUAAACUUUUUUAAAAAGUACUUCUGGCUUCCUAAAAGUUUGGUCACAGACUAUUAGUCAUGAUCUGACGCUUUUAACUUUUAAGAAAAAGUGAACCCGUUAGUUUUGCCAGAUAUUCAAACAAUAACAUGUAAAAUUGGUGCAGUUAACAUAUUCCAUGACAUUGUAAGCUAAUCACUGGAAAUGGUAUUUAGCCAGCCUAAUGAACAAUUAGAACAAGCAGCAUAACCAGAGAAAUAUCCAAGCAUCAUUUCGUCAACUAACCAGAGCUGGAGGAACAUCUGGCUCGUCACUAUCAGCUGCCUCCUCAAUCUCAGCUGCUGAAUCCCAGUCAAUCUUGAGCCUCUUAGCAGCCUCUAUUGGAUCAAUACCAGUGUCCGUGGCUUUUGCAUAGAGGGAUCUGCUCUUAUUUUGCUUUGUGGCUUCAGCCUAAAUCAAACAAGAAUACCGUAUAACUAUUAAGUGGCUGAAUGCUGAAUUUGGUGCCACUACAAAGACAUCGCAUGCCCGGGGAUGUAAAAUCAAUCAAUCAGUCUCAUUCAAUUUCAAGAAAUGAAAAAAAAAUGUUGAUCUUAUCUGUUAAAUGGAAUUGUCCAGAUCACAUAAAAGUUUAAUACACGAAAGGAUAAAAAAAGAGAACUGGUGUAUGAAAUUUCAACAAGAAGAAAUGAUUUCUGCUACUUUUCAGAAAAAUAGCAAAUGGUUUGGAAAAGAUAUAACACUAUCCUUAAAUCUAAACUUGAGGAGAAACUAUUCAACCAAUAAAUCAGUGUUAAAAUCCCAAUGCAAUUAUAGAUUUCAUUUAGAUCAUUGUAUCUGACUUUGAGAGUGAAAGAGUUAAAUUCAACAUCAUGGACUGGAUUGGUUAGAAUUAGCUUUUAGAUUGGCAUAUCCUGAUAAAGUUUCACUAACAUAUCUCCAAGCCUGUUCAGCUGACUUUAAUUAGGAAAAAACUCUACUCUACUAAUAAGUCAAAUUAUUGCGAAUUACGGCAGAGGAUUAGGGCCAGUUCGGGUCGCUAGUGUAGGGAAUAAAUUGGUGGGGGUGUAUUCCUGUUAUGAUUCCGUAUUCAAUGUUCCGUGUUCCGUGUUCCAUGUUUAUUACGAAUAUGUGUGCUUUCCUUUGCUGUAUAUUCCUGCAUUCCUUCUUUACUCUGUUUUAUAUUCCUUAUGGGUGCCGUAUCUAUGUUAUGUCAUCUGCUUCUGUGCUGUACUAUGUGUUGUGUGAUAUCUCGUGACUUGAGCCGGGGGUCUUUCGGAAACAGCCUUUCUACUUCAUCAGAGGUAGAGGUAUGGACUGCGUACAUCUUACCCCCCCCAGACCCCACUAAGUGGGAAUACACUGGGUUUGUUGUUGUUGUUGUUGUUGUUGGGAAGUAGGACACAUUUAAUGAAUUUGAUAGAAAAAUAAAAAUUCUGGUGUAGCCAUAGAUUGAAACUAUUUGUUGUUGACACUCAACUAAUAUUUGAGAGAAUUUAGCCAAGAAAUAUUCGCUUCUAGUUGAAAGACAUUGAUGGAUACUUGAUGUUCUAAGACUAAUUACAAAAUUCAUGAUAAGUUAUGAGUAAAUGGUUGAAUAGGGUAGAUCAUUGAUAGAAUUGAUUUUCCAUUAUUAUUUUCCUAAUUUUCCAUCAUUUGUGAAAGUCAUUGAUCAACUUGUUCAUAUUAAAAUUGGUUCUAUCCUUAUUUAAAAUGGAAAAAAACCCCAAAAUACACUUGUAUCCCUGAUCGAAUUAGAGUUACUUUUAUUCCUUACUUUCUCAAUCGCUAGUCACAUUAUUCCUCGUGGGAUCAACUCCAAUCUAUAAUUGAAUAAAUAUAUUACUAACGGCUGCAUACAUCUUUUGACAGGUGUAUUUGAGCAUUAUCAAUAUUUAUUUAAUUUUUUGAAAGAGUCAAGCUCAUAUAAAGAUACAGAAAUGAUAGGACAUUCGUAUCAUGUAUCUUUGCUUUUUUAACUUAUGUGAUAUUUCAUUAUAUACCUUUUACAGAGUUUUAAAUGAUUGUCAAAUUAAAUCUGAGGCACGUUUGAAAAUAUUCACCAUGUAUCGCCAUAUUCAAGAUAAUUGCAAUAGCGGCCUGAUCUAAUGCUUACGUUGGGCCUGGCUUAGCUAUCUAGUUACAAUAUCAGAAUGAAACACUGCUGGCAACGACAGAUACUAUACCAGUGCUCGUUAAAUGCACGCAACCCCAAAUUUUAACAUACUGUUAUCUAAAAACUGAGCAAACUUCGAGAAAACAGAAGCUGGCUCACAACUUUUACUUUUUGCGGGGUUUCUACAACAUCUUUACAUAUGUGAGGAAGAAGGAUUCAAAGAACUAAAGAAUUGACCCAUACAUGAUAGUGAAGUUAGCAAAUCAGAAAUGGUAACUGUGACCUAAUAUACAAGAAUGGGCUCUAUCACAUACUCUAAUUUACACACACCUAGGGCUUCCUUUAAACAUGUACAGAAGGGUGGUAAAGCUUAAUAUUAUCUCCGUCCCCUGCUGUAAAAUGGUAUUGGGGUAGAGAGAGUGAAAUAUCAAACUGGUGAAAAUCUCAAAAAUCCCUGUCUAUUUUGUUGAAGUAUCAACAGUUCUUUCAAUGUCAAGCAUAGGUUUUACUCUUCUCUCAACCUCAUUGCUCAGUAAAUUUAGCUC
rnacentral:lncRNA from 1 species